GCCUAGUUAGCUUAGUUGAUAGUGCGUCUGCCUUGUAAGCGCUAGGCCGCGGGUUCGAUUCCCGCCUGGGGCG
rfam:Asian citrus Psyllid, Diaphorina citri - Florida Strain, whole genome shotgun sequence.